rnacentral:rRNA from 10 species
GAUCUCAAAUCAAGUAAGACUACCCGCUGAACUUAA